CUCAGCUCCCACCUCCUGGCUCCCGGACCACUUGAAAAUUACCUUCCCCCGAAGGCACGCUCUCGGGGAGCCUCUAGCCUCUGUGGACUACACUCCCCAGAAUGCAAUGCGUCCCCAUCCGCCGGCGCGCUUCCGCUCCCGCCCCACGUGUUUUCUGGGAGUUGCGGUUUCUGGGGCGGAAGGUCAGCACUCGGUCACAUGCCCAUCCUUUCCAACCAGUGGAAGAGGACUAGGAAUGCGUAGCUGCUCAGAGCAAUCAAGAUUCAGUCUCUGUGGUCGGGCGCCCUGCCGUUUGGUCAGCAACGACAAAAGGGAACCGAUAACGUAACUGAACAAUCUUUCUCUACUUCAGCCCUGCAGUGACCCGGAUGCAAAACCCAGCCCCUUCCGUGGGGUUCAUUUACGACAAGCAUUUAAUGAUUCCUGUGUUCUUUACUGAAAGUUUGUGGAAUGAUGGGGAAAAGGUUCCACUGCACAACAUCCUUUAAAAUCCAUAUUAGCAUUGGCGUUAAGACUAGACACUUUUGUUCUAGAAAAAGCAGCACUCCCUUCACGUACUGCCCAGUCUUGCUGGCUCCUCUUUCCUCCUCUCCAGAUUUCUCUCAAAAAUGCAAAUUCCGUUUCCUGCUAUUAUUCAGAGCAAUUCAGUUCUUUCCCAACUCCUUUUCCACACUGGCUUCCUUAUCACCCCCAUCAUCACCAUCACUAUUACUGUUUACGGAGACCGUUGCUGUGAAAUUGGAAUCUUUGGGUUGCAAGUGAGAGAAAAGUCAACUCAAAACAGGCUUAAACAAAAAGGGAAAUGAUCAGCUCAUGUAACUAAAACUCUAGGGCUGCAGUCACAGCUGGAUCUAGGAGCUACAGUAACAUCGUCAGGACUUAAGUCUCUCUCCCUCUGUUUCCCUCUGAGGAUGAGGGGUGUGGGGCUCAUGUUCGGGCAGACUCUUUCUUACAGGAGCCCUUCAUAGCUCCAGUUUUCCUUUCUCCCAGCUUCCCAUCCACAAGGAGAGAAGAGCUCCUGACCCACCAAUUCCAAUAAAAGCCUCGAGCCCAGUUCCCAUCAGCUCAGCAUGGAUGAGGUGCCUGUUCCCAAGUCCCCAUGCGAGUGGAGAUGAAAUCUAGGGACUAGCUUAGGUGGGAUUGGGUGGUCACUCCUAGAACUGUGGGCGUCUGGGACAGCCAGCACCCAUCAGACCAUGGACCCAGAGUGGGCAAGAACCGGUUCCCUUAGGGAGAGUGGGAGACCAUCAGCAAAGAAAGGAGGAUGGAUGUUGGGUUAGACCAUGAAUGUCCCCAGGACACAUGUGUGUUAAACACUUCGUGCAGGCUACCCCAUUAAUCUUCCCAUCGACUCUACACAGGAGGGACCAUUAUGCCUGUUGAGUUGAUGAGUAAACUGAGGUGGGUAGGUAGAGGCAGUGAGAUUUGAACCCAGGCAGGAGUAGCUCCAAAGCCGAGUACAUUCAGGUGCUGCGUGGAACCAAGGGUCCCCCUGUCAACAGGCCGCCCCUCCCCAGCUGUCUGUGCUACUUGAGCACGUCCUUUGGGCUCUCACUUUCCACCCUGAGCAGCUUACCAAAGUAUUUCUGAUAAAC
rnacentral:lncRNA from 1 species